UAAAAGGGUCGGUUGGCUAAAUAUGCCACUCUCAUCCUUGACUGGUGAGUGCUGUAUGGCUAUCAAGACAUAUGGCCGACAUAAUUUGUGUAACCUGAUAGGGUUGGCUCGAUUAGCCGACCCUUUCA
rnacentral:snRNA from 1 species